rnacentral:rRNA from 1 species
GCUACGGGAGGCAGCAGUGAGGAAUAUUGGUCAAUGGGCGGGAGCCUGAACCAGCCAAGUCGCGUGAGGGAAGACGGUCCUACGGAUUGUAAACCUCUUUUGCCGGGGAGCAACGGGGUCCUUGCGAGGGCCCGAGGAGAGUACCCGGAGAAAAAGCAUGGUCUAACUCCGUGCCAGCAGCCGCGGUAAUACGGAGUUUCCGAGCGUUAUCCGGAUUUAUUGGGUUUAAAGGGAGCGUAGAUGGGUUGUUAAGUCAGUUGUGAAAGUUUGCGGCUCAACCGUAAAAUUGCAAUUGAUACUGGCAGUCUUGAGUACAGUUGAGGUAGGCGGAAUUCGUGGUGUAGCGGUGAAAUGCUUAGAUAUCACGAAGAACCCCGAUUGCGAAGGCAGCUUACUAAACUGUGACUGACAUUGAUGCUCGAAAGUGUGGGUAUCAAACAGGAUUAGAUACCCCUGUAGUC